GGUUAAGUGACUAAGCGUACACGGUGGAUGCCUUGGCAGUCAGAGGCGAUGAAAGGCGUAAUAACUUGCGAUAAGCCCAGAUUAGGUAGUAAUAACCUUUUGAGUCUGGGAUUCCUGAAUGGGGAAACCCACUUACAUAAGUAAGUAUCCUGUUGUGAAUACAUAGCAACAGGAGGCAAACCGGGGGAACUGAAACAUCUAAGUACCCCGAGGAAGAGAAAUCAACCGAGAUUCCGAAAGUAGCGGCGAGCGAAAUUGGAUUAGCCCUUAAGCUUUUAAUGAGACAGAUGAAGGCUCUGGAAAGUGCCGCAAUAAAGGGUGAUAGCCCCGUAAUCGACAUCUCAUAAUCAGUGAAAACGAGUAGGGCGGGACACGUGAUAUCCUGUCUGAAUAUGGGGGGACCAUCCUCCAAGGCUAAAUACUACUGACUGACCGAUAGUGAACCAGUACCGUGAGGGAAAGGCGAAA
rnacentral:rRNA from 1 species